GAUGAACGCUGGCGGCGUGCCUAAUACAUGCAAGUCGAGCGAACAGAUGAUAAGCUUGCUCCUCUAACGUUAGCGGCUGACGGGUGGGUAACACAUGGAUAACCUACCUCUUAUACUGGGAUGACUUCGGGAAAACGGAUCUAAUACCGGAUAAUAUAAUGAACCGCAUAGUUCAAUAGUGAAAGACGGUUUUCGUGUCUGUUUUAGAUGGAUCCGCGCCGCAUUAGCUAGUUGGUAAGGUAACGGCUUACCAAGGCAACGAUGCGUAGCCGAGCUGAGAGGGUGAUCGGCCACACUGGAACUGAGACACGGUCCAGACUCCUGCGGGAGGCAGCAGUAGGGAAUCUUGCGCAAUGGGCGAAAGCCUGACGGAGCAACGCCGCGUGAGUGAUGAAGGUCUUCGGAUCGUAAAACUCUGUUAUUGGGGAAGAACAACUGUGUAAGUAACUAUGCACGUCCUGACGGUACCUAAUCAGAAAGCCACGGCUAACUACGUG
rnacentral:rRNA from 1 species